AUUGAACGCUGGCGGCAGGCUUAACACAUGCAAGUCGAGCGGGGUGAUGGUGCUUGCACUAUCACUUAGCGGCGGACGGGUGAGUAAUGCUUGGGAAUCUGCCUAUUAGUGGGGGACAACAUCUCGAAAGGGAUGCUAAUACCGCAUACGUCCUACGGGAGAAAGCAGGGGAUCACUUGUGACCUUGCGCUAAUAGAUGAGCCUAAGUCGGAUUAGCUAGUUGGUGGGGUAAAGGCCUACCAAGGCGACGAUCUGUAGCGGGUCUGAGAGGAUGAUCCGCCACACUGGGACUGAGACACGGCCCAGACUCCUACGGGAGGCAGCAGUGGGGAAUAUUGGACAAUGGGGGGAACCCUGAUCCAACCAUGCCGCGUGUGUGAAGAAGGCCUUAUGGUUGUAAAGCACUUUAAGCGAGGAGGAGGCUCUUUUGGUUAAUACCCAAGAUGAGUGGACGUUACUCGCAGAAUAAGCACCGGCUAACUCUGUGCCAGCCGCCGCAGUAA
rnacentral:rRNA from 1 species